UUCCGGUUGAUCCUGCCGGACCUGACUGCUAUCGGAUUGAUACUAAGCCAUGCGAGUCUUUGUAGCAAUACAAGGCAUACGGCUCAGUAACACGUAGUCAAUCUACCCUAUGGACGGGGAUAACCUCGGGAAACUGAGUAUAAUGCCCGAUAGAACAUUAUGCCUGGAAUGGUUUAUGUUCCAAAUGAUUUAUCGCCGUAGGAUGGGACUGCGGCCUAUCAGUUUGUUGGUGAGGUAAUGGCCCACCAAGACUAUUACAGGUACGGGCUCUGAGAGGAGUAGCCCGGAGAUGGGUACUGAGACACGGACCCAGGCCCUAUGGGCGCAGCAGGCGAGAAAACUUUGCAAUGUGCGAAAGCACGACAAGGUUAAUCCGAGUGGUUUCUGCUAAAGGAACCUUUUGUUAGUCCUAAAAACACUAACGAAUAAGGGGUGGGCAAGUUCUGGUGUCAGCCGCCGCGGUAAAACCAGCACCUCAAGUGGUCAGGAGGAUUAUUGGGCCUAAAGCAUCCGUAGCCUGCCCUGUAAGUUUUCGGUUAAAUCUGUAUGCUCAACAUACAGGCCGCCGGGAAUACUGCAGGGCUAGGGAGUGGGAGAGGUAGACGGUACUCGGGAGGAAGUGGUAAAAUGCUUUGAUCUCUCGAUGACCACCUGUGGCGAAGGCGGUCUACCAGAACACGUCCGACGGUGAGGGAUGAAAGCUGGGGGAGCAAACCGGAUUAGAUACCCGGGUAGUCCCAGCCGUAAACUAUGCAAACUCAGUGAUGCAUUGGCUUGUGGCCAAUGCAGUGUUGCAGGGAAGCCGUUAAGUUUGCCGCCUGGGAAGUACGUACGCAAGUAUGAAACUUAAAGGAAUUGGCGGGGGAGCACCACAAGGGGUGAAGCCUGCGGUUCAAUUGGAGUCAACGCCGGGA
rnacentral:rRNA from 1 species